AUGUUUUCCCUGCAUCAGUAUACUUUCAUUUUCUGUUUCCAGGGGUCCCAAACUUUUACUUUCAUUGAAUUCUCUUUGAAGUUCUUGAGACAAAUCCAUCCUCAAGGAAAGCAGUAAUCAGGAAAUUACCCAGCUGGCUUUCACGUGAGAUUCAGAAGUCAGACUCCAAGAUGCAUUCGCUAGCCUGCUUGCUUCUGUUUGUCACUCAUCCUGCCUUAGUGUUUUCAACUGUCUGUCUGCUGCAUAAGAAAUGAAGACUUGUCAAAGCACUAUGGGGCUGGGAUGUGUGUGUUGCUUUUGAGUCAAUGGUUAGAAAUCUGGAAAUGGUUGAAGUUAAAGAAAUCUCAAAAUUUGGAACUCAUCAUUUAGCAAAACAGUAAUGUUUGUGUUCUGACUUUGUACUCUAUGCAACUGAAAGAAAAAGUCUUACUUCCAUUCAUAUUUUGAGAUAUGAGCAGGUAUCAUCAUAAUUUAAGGUUUGCAAUAUAAUAUAUGUAUUUAGAUAAUUGCUGAGAGUACUUUGAGAGUAAUCUGCUUUGUGCUAAUCUCUAUUUUAUUCUCUCUGAGUAGCCUAAAAUCAUAAUGAUGGAUAUUUGUGGACAUUCACAGCUCUAAACAAAUUCUAAAGUCAGAAUCAUUAUGGAACAUCUAUAUGAUCCUCUUUUCUCUAAGGAAUAACAGAGUGACAUCAUCAGCUAUUCACAGCAAUUUGAGAAACUCAGCAUUGCAAUGACUGGUCUACAGCAGACAACCCUACUGCCCCAAGCACAACAAAAAAUUGUAAUUUAUAUAUGUAGAUCUAAAAUAUAAUGUUUUUUAAGAGUAACAUGUAUUAGGCUAGUUUUAGUUUGCAUUUACUUUUAAUACCAUUGGGUCAGCUAUGAAAUGCUCUGGUUUUUCUCUUUGGAUGUCACCUCAGGGAGCUGUCAAAAAAUGAACUGUGUGCUCUUUUCUGGAAUUGAGAAUGUGAAUUCUUUUCCCUAGGUGCAGUUCUGUCUUGCUGACGUGUCUUACUGCGUUACAUUUCCCUCUCCUCUAACAGUCAGAAUGACUAUGUUCCUCAAAAAAGCACUUUGAAAUUUGAAGAUGAUUUCUAAGUGUAAGGUUGAAUAAUAUGAAGAUGGUAGCAAAGAUAAUUCAAAAGGUUAUUUGUAAAGGAAAACUCACCAAUACCGAUGCCUUGGCUGGAGGAGGGGGGGGGAGGGGCGAAUCAGCCGAGGUCUAGAGGAGGUGGAGUCAAGCUCCACCCCUUCCGGGAGCACAGCUAAAUUACUCUCACCUGUGCUCCCACAGCUGACCCAAUACUUGUCUCAGCUGAUUAAUCAGAGGUUCAGGCUGUGAUUAUCAAUUUCCCAUACACUAAGUGACUGCUUAUAUUAAGUGAAUUGAAUUAGGUUUUUAUCACUAUUAUUUUAUUUCAGACAUCUGCCUUUAUUUUCAUAAUUAAGGUGGGAAAUUGGUCUAGAAACGAAAAGUUAAAACAAAUAAAAAGAUUACUGUUUUCUUCCUAAUGCGAAGC
rnacentral:lncRNA from 1 species